CCUUCCCCCACACACCCUUAAUCAACAUCAUUAACAUUAAUCAAUCAUAACAAUGAAAAAAUUACCAAAAUUUAGCAAAAAUCACUACCCCAAGCUCUAAAUCCUACGGAUUACAAACACAAAAUCCAACCAUUUUCUUUUAAAAAACUAUACAAAGGAAAGCAAAUUUAAACCAACAAGAAUCUAAAUCAUCACAAAACCCCCCAAAAGAUUCAUAAUUUACAUGACCAAACAGAGAAAUCGAUCCAAACAAAAUAAUCCAAUUGACUCCAAUAAUUACAAAACUCCCCUGAAUGAGGAAAACACGUAAUCGAAAGAGGAAAGAAACUUGACAUAUGGGUUUGCUGUAAAGAGCCUGGAAGAGUAAGAAUCCGAGGAAGAUGCGUGAUGGUGUUUACGGCGGCGUUACGAGUGAGACUUACUGUUGUUACUACUUUUUCCGGAUCUUGGGAGCUUCUCUGUCCCAGCGAUUGCGGCAACGGCGACGGUUGCGAGAGGAAGGAGAGGAGGAAUCGGAGGACAGAGAAGAUGACGAGGCUGCCAUUGAUUGAUGGAUUGAUUAUGGUUUGGUGAUUGGGAGAUUUGAAAAGGGGAAGUCAGUUAUUGACGUCGUCGUGUGCUUCCCUGUGAAAACUGAAAAGUGGGGAUCCCGGUGGCCUUGAUCCAGGAAUCACCCUUUAGGAACCUUCCUGGUGUGAAAUCCAUGGCAUGCUGACGGUUGAUGGUCUUGAUUCCAUUCCACUUCACACGAAGAUUCUUGCUAGAACCAGGACCGUAGUUGUUGAAUUCUGUGUACCAACAAGUCUUGAGUCCGAAAGUUCCGAGCCAAGGCAACCAUCCUUCGGGCUGGAUGAGAUCGUCGAUAAAUGACUCCAUGAUGAUUGUUCUUGAGUAUUCCUUCCAUGGACGGCCGAGGUAUGACUUGAAUUGUUUCCUUUCAGGGAAUAGGUCAGGGUGAGCUGUGAUAGUGCUGUUUUGGAUGAUAAGAGCUGAUGGCUGCCUCCUCAUUUUCCUGCCUUGAGCAGUCACAAUGCACUGCUGGUUUUCCAAUGGCUUGCGGACCAAGAAUUUGCAGUUUUGGAAGACUGCAGAAGCAUCACCGAAGACGAAGUCAAUGGUGCCGGAGAUGCUGCAGUCACGGUAGAAUUGACGUUUGGCAUGUGUGUACAAUGUAUCCUGGUGUCCGUCCAUUGAGCAGUUGUAGAAGAUAGCGUAAUCAGCCGAAACUCUCAACGCCACAGCCUGAUGUUUGAUGGCACCAGCAUUGUUCUCGAAACCAAUAUUCUUGGCCACAAAGUUAUCUCCGAGGACAGCUGCAGGCAAUUCAUGAAAUUCCAGGACAUAUAUAAUAGUGGAAAUGUGUUAGAUUUGGGAAGAACAUAGAGAAUUCUCAAAAUAGAUCAGGCUUACAUACCGACUGUUGCGGUGUGGAAAGUGUUGAUUCCAUCGACAAAGUUCUUGUUUCCGAUGAUGCGAGUAUUUUCCCUGCCAUCUCCAAUCACCACCAAAUUAAUCAUGCCCUUACUGAUCUCAAGGUACUCUUGAUAAACUCCUGCCUUAAUGUGUAACACAAAGGCCUUUUUGCUCUUGAUGGGAACAUGUUUCAAUGCUUCUCUGAUAGUUGAGAAAUCUCCACUUCCAUCCUUAGCCACAACAAUGUCAGCCUUAAUCUUCGAAACGGGUGCAGCUAGGAGUCUGCGGGUUCCAAAGUCAGUCCACGUGGGGAAUUGAUCACCAUGGCCAAGAACAGGUAGAUCGUCUUGAAGAAGGCGGCGGUGGGUGAAACUUUCCAAUGAAGGGAUUGCGGAAGAGAUCCCGGAAACGAUGUCAAGGAGAUUGGCGCUAAGCUCCAUGCCCAGCUUCAUUCCCUUCUUCAUUUUCUUUCCAGCAUCAGUGGUUGUGUUUUCAAACCCGUCCAAGCAAGUCUCUUGAUAUGUGAUGGAAGCACUAAGCCAGGUCUUAACAUCUGCCAUCAUUGUCUCUAACUCGCUAAGAUCAAAAUCUGUUACUUUGUUAAGAGAUUGCUUGAGCUCACCAACAGACAUGUUCAGAAGCUCUUUGCAGCUCUGAAGAGCCCCUCGGGUUCUUGGAUCCUUUGAGAGUUCCUCCAAAAGCUUUGAUUUCUCGGAAGCCUCAUUAAUUUGCUUCUCUGCAAUCUUGAAUGCUAUUUUGAUCAACUCCUUAGGAUCGGUGGUGUUUCCAGCAGCUUUUUGGAGGCUUUCUUCACAUGUUUUUCUGUAAUCAGUGGGCUGGCAAAUGGCUUUGACGGCUUUCACCGAGGCAGAAACCUGAGUAGUGCUUUUAUGACUGCUGCCAUUGAGGUCGUCAUUACCGUCAUUGUUAAGGCCAACGCCAACGGUCACAGCUACAACCAUAGCUACCAAGAGCAUAGAAGAGACGCCGAUAAUGGCCAAUCUCCUCUUUCUCUUAGAAUCAUCAUCCCCCUGCUAAAGGCUCAAGAAAGAGGGGUAAAGCUCAGUUAAUUAGCCUUCCCCUUAAUUUGAAACCUGAAGGACCAAGUUGAAGUGAUCUUAGAAAGAGCAAUAUAUAUUUAUAAGAGACUUGAAGAAAGAUAGGCUUCCAAAGUUAGUCAAGUCUGUUACAAAAUUUGAGGCACAGAGGAAAAGAGACAACCAAAGACAAGCUAGAACAUUGUCGUUGUUUUCUAAAUAUGGAGCUUCACCGCUUGAAGUUUCGAGGAACAUUUUUAUUGGUGUUUCGUCUUAAUUUUAGGACAUUGACCAAUUAUCUGUAGCUGUUCUAAUGAUGGAUAAAUGGUUGGUAAAUGCUCGUACUCUACCAUCUAGCAUAUACACCAUCCAUAUUUUAAGAAAAA